rnacentral:rRNA from 1 species
UGUGUAGGCGGGACUGUAAGUCAGAGGUGAAAUCCCACGGCUCAACCGUGGAACUGCCUUUGAUACUGCAGUUCUUGAGUCUCGGAGGGGUAGCUGGAAUUCGUGGUGUAGCGGUGAAAUGCGUAGAUAUCACGAGGAACACCAGAGGCGUAGGCGGGCUACUGGACGAGAUCUGACGCUGAGGCACGAAAGCGUGGGGAGCAAACAGGAUUAGAUACCCUGGUAGUCC